rnacentral:misc_RNA from 1 species
UACGGGGAGUGCAAGCGUUGUUCGGAAUCAUUGGGCGUAAAGCGCACGUAGGCGGCCCAGUAAGUCUGGAGUGAAAGCCCUCGGCCCAACCGAGGAAGUGCUUUGGAAACUGCUGGGCUUGAGUCCUGGAGGGGCAGGUGGAAUUCCCAGUGUAGAGGUGAAAUUCGUAGAUAUUGGGAGGAACACCGGUGGCGAAGGCGGCCUGCUGGACAGUGACUGACGCUGAGGUGCGAAAGCGUGGGGAGCAAACAGG